ACGUAGGAGACGAGCGUUAUCCGGAUUUACUGGGUGUAAAGCGCGUGCAGGCGGUCUGUUAAGUUGGAUGUGAAAGCUCCCGGCUAAACUGGGAGAGGUCGUUCAAAACUAGCAGACUAGAGUGUGGGAGAGGGGAGUGGAAUUCCGAGUGUAGCGGUAAAAUGCAUAGAUAUUCGGAAGAACACCAGUGGCGAAGGCGACUUCCUAGACCACAACUGACGCUCAGACGCGAAAGCUAGUGUAGCAAACGGGAUUAGAGACCCCGGUAGUCCUAGCAGUAAACGAUGUGAACUUGGCGUCGGCGGGAUAAAACCUGUCGGUGCCGAAGCAAACGCGAUAAGUUCACCACCUGGGGACUACGGCCGCAAGGUUA
rnacentral:rRNA from 1 species